rnacentral:misc_RNA from 1 species
CGCACAUUGCGCCCAUUAGUAUUCUAACGGGCAUGCCUGUUCGAGCGUCAUUUCAACCCUCAAGCCCUGCUUGGUGUUGGGGCACUAUUCCUGUAUAGGCCCUGUAACGUAGUGGCGGAUCUGCUGUUAUCCUGAGCGUAGUAAUACACGUCGCUUUGGGCUUACAGCGGGCUUCUGCCGUUAAACCCCCACUUUAACAAGGUUGACCUCGGAUCAGGUAGGAAUACCCGCUGAACUUAA